rnacentral:rRNA from 1 species
AGACGCUGGCGGCGUGCCUAAUACAUGCAAGUCGAACGGUCUUUUCUAUGGAAGCUUGCUUCCACUGAGAAGAUAGUGGCGAACGGGUGAGUAACACGUGGGUAACCUGCCCAUAAGAGGGGGAUAACAUCCGGAAACGGGUGCUAAUACCGCAUAGUUUUCUUGAUCGCAUGAUCGGGAAAGGAAAGGACGGCCUUUGUGCUGUCGCUUAUGGAUGGACCCGCGGCGUAUUAGUUAGUUGGUGAGGUAACGGCUCACCAAGACGAUGGAUACGUAGCCGACCUGAGAGGGUGAUCGGCCACAUUGGGACUGAGACACGGCCCAAACUCCUACGGGAGGCACGCAGUAGGGAAUCUUCCGCAAUGGACGAAAGUCUGACGGAGCAACGCCGCGUGAGUGAAGAAGGUUUUCGGAUCGUAAAACUCUGUUGUCAGAGAAGAACACGUUGGAGAGUAACUGCUUCCAGCCUUGACGGUAUCUGACCAGAAAGCCACGGCUAACUACGUG